rnacentral:rRNA from 1 species
AGAGUUUGAUCCUGGCUCAGAUUGAACGCUGGCGGCAUGCCUUACACAUGCAAGUCGAACGGCAGCACGAGAGCUUGCUCUUGGUGGCGAGUGGCGAACGGGUGAGUAAUAUAUCGGAACGUACCCUAGAGUGGGGGAUAACGUAGCGAAAGUUACGCUAAUACCGCAUACGAUCUACGGAUGAAAGUGGGGGAUCGCAAGACCUCAUGCUCAUGGAGCGGCCGAUAUCUGAUUAGCUAGUUGGUGGGGUAAAAGCUCACCAAGGCGACGAUCAGUAGCUGGUCUGAGAGGACGACCAGCCACACUGGAACUGAGACACGGUCCAGACUCCUACGGGAGGCAGCAGUGGGGAAUUUUGGACAAUGGGCGCAAGCCUGAUCCAGCAAUGCCGCGUGAGUGAAGAAGGCCUUCGGGUUGUAAAGCUCUUUUGUCAGGGAAGAAACGGUGGACUCUAAUACAGAUCACUAAUGACGGUACCUGAAGAAUAAGCACCGGCUAACUACGUGCCAGCAGCCGCGGUAAUACGUAGGGUGCAAGCGUUAAUCGGAAUUACUGGGCGUAAAGCGUGCGCAGGCGGUUGUGCAAGACAGAUGUGAAAUCCCCGGGCUCAACCUGGGAAUUGCAUUUGUGACUGCACGGCUAGAGUGUGUCAGAGGGGGGUAGAAUUCCACGUGUAGCAGUGAAAUGCAUAGAGAUGUGGAGGAAUACCGAUGGCGAAGGCAGCCCCCUGGGAUAACACUGACGCUCAUGCACGAAAGCGUGGGGAGCAAACAGGAUUAGAUACCCUGGUAGUCCACGCCCUAAACGAUGUCUACUAGUUGUCGGGUCUUAAUUGACUUGGUAACGCAGCUAACGCGUGAAGUAGACCGCCUGGGGAGUACGGUCGCAAGAUUAAAACUCAAAGGAAUUGACGGGGACCCGCACAAGCGGUGGAUGAUGUGGAUUAAUUCGAUGCAACGCGAAAAACCUUACCUACCCUUGACAUGUCUGGAAUCCUUGAGAGAUCAGGGAGUGCUCGAAAGAGAAUCAGAACACAGGUGCUGCAUGGCUGUCGUCAGCUCGUGUCGUGAGAUGUUGGGUUAAGUCCCGCAACGAGCGCAACCCUUGUCAUUAGUUGCUACGAAAGGGCACUCUAAUGAGACUGCCGGUGACAAACCGGAGGAAGGUGGGGAUGACGUCAAGUCCUCAUGGCCCUUAUGGGUAGGGCUUCACACGUCAUACAAUGGUACAUACAGAGGGCCGCCAACCCGCGAGGGGGAGCUAAUCCCAGAAAGUGUAUCGUAGUCCGGAUUGUAGUCUGCAACUCGACUACAUGAAGUUGGAAUCGCUAGUAAUCGCGGAUCAGCAUGUCGCGGUGAAUACGUUCCCGGGUCUUGUACACACCGCCCGUCACACCAUGGGAGCGGGUUUCACCAGAAGUGGGUAGCCUAACCGCAAGGAGGGCGCUCACCACGGUGGGAUUCGUGACUGGGGUGAAGUCGUAACAAGGUA